rnacentral:rRNA from 2 species
GGGGAAUUUUCCGCAAUGGGCGAAAGCCUGACGGAGCAAUACCGCGUGCGGGAGGACGCCCUUUGGGGUGUAAACCGCUUUUGUGAGGGAAGAAGUUCUGACGGUACCUCACGAAUCAGCCUCGGCUAACUCCGUGCCAGCAGCCGCGGUAAGACGGAGGAGGCAAGCGUUAUCCGGAAUUAUUGGGCGUAAAGCGUCCGCAGGUGGCGGUUCAAGUCUGCUGUCAAAGUCCAGGGCUCAACUCUGGGAAGGCAGUGGAAACUGGAUUGCUAGAGUGCGGUAGGGGCAGAGGGAAUUCCCGGUGUAGCGGUGAAAUGCGUAGAGAUCGGGAAGAACACCAGUGGCGAAAGCGCUCUGCUGGGCCGCAACUGACACUCAUGGACGAAAGCUAGGGGAGCGAAAGGGAUUAGAUACCCCUGU